GCUUGGAAGAAUGUAUAGAUAUUUAAUAACAAUUAUUUUUAAUAUAUUAGCUAUGACAGUCGUGGUUAUAUUUUUAAGAAAUCGUGGUUAAAUUUAAAAAGAAAAUGUUGAUUGCUUGAAAGUAAUUCAGUAGGGUCCAGAUAAGGGGUACAAACAAAAUGUUCAUGAGUUUAUAAUCACUAAAGCUAAGUAAUGUAUACAUGAGGACUCAUUAAACUGUUGUUGUUAACUUUUGUGUAUAUUUGAAACUUUUCCAUUAAAAAAUGCUUAGCUCAAGAUCAAUAACAACAUUGUGUUGAAGGCCUAAUUCCUAUGGCUAGCACGGUUCUAACAGUAUUGUUAAGGUGAGCCUUCAAAAGUGUGUUUCUCUGUGUGGGGCAGGAGAAUUUAAUGAGUAAAAAAAUGUUAAAUACGGUAAGUCAUACCCAAGUGCUAUUAUGUUUUCUUGUUCAAGGUAUUCAGGAAGCACAGAGGAUGAACCAAGUCAUUCUGCCUGGUAGUAAUCAUGAUCCAUCAAAGAGGAAGGGUCUUUGAGGGAUUGCAGUAUGACUCUAUUUCCUUGGUAUAUGUGCUGCCGAAGCAAGCACCUGACUCUGUUUCCUUAGUGCAUUCAUAAAAUAGUUCACUCAGUGAAGACAAUGAAGAUUAUUGACAAUGCUACCCUGCUUUUUCUGAUGUUCUACACCAGGAAGUUGUGAUUUUUAAGGUAAUCUCUUUACCAAAAACUUAUUAAAAGAGGGAGAAGAAUAAGAGUUGAUUAUGACACAUUAAAAAUAACUACCCCAGAGUUCCUUUGUGGUGCAGUGGGUUGAGGAUCUGGCGUUGUCACUGCAGCAGCUCAGGUGGCUGCUGUGUUGCAGGUUCGAUCCCUGGCCCUGGAAUUUCCACAUGCCACAGGCAUGGCCAAGAUAAAUUUUUAAAAUGAAGAAAUAAUUACUCAAAAACAAAAAGCUAGCACCAAAUGAUAAAAUUUAAAUCAUUUCUACAUUAUAUGAAACCAUAUGUAUAUACCAUAUAAUAAUGUUAUAUAUAAGCUGUUCUGUUAGAUUCACUCCUAAUUACCUUAUGGUUUUUGCUGUUACUGUGAAAUACACUUUUUAAACCACAUUUUCAGAUUAUUGCUGGUAAAUGGGAACAUGAUUGAUUUUUUUUAUUUACAUGAUUGAUAUUUUUAUAUACUGAUGUUAUAUACCGU
rnacentral:lncRNA from 9 species